UACGGGAGGCAGCAGUGGGGAAUAUUGCACAAUGGGCGCAAGCCUGAUGCAGCCAUGCCGCGUGUAUGAAGAAGGCCUUCGGGUUGUAAAGUACUUUCAGUCGUGAGGAAGGUGUUAAGGUUAAUAACCUUAGCAAUUGACGUUAGCGACAGAAGAAGCACCGGCUAACUCCGUGCCAGCAGCCGCGGUAAUACGGAGGGUGCGAGCGUUAAUCGGAAUUACUGGGCGUAAAGGGCACGCAGGCGGUUAAUUAAGUUGGAUGUGAAAUCCCCGGGCUUAACCUGGGAAUGGCAUUCAAGCUGGUUAGCUAGAGUCUUGUAGAGGGGGUAGAAUUCCAUGUGUAGCGGUGAAAUGCGUAGAGAUGUGGAGGAAUACCGGUGGCGAAGGCGGCCCCUGGGCAAAGGCUGACGCUCAUGUGCGAAAGCGUGGGGAGCGAAACAGGGAUUAGAUACC
rnacentral:rRNA from 1 species